rnacentral:piRNA from 1 species
UGGAUGCACAUGGCAACUCCUGGUA